GACGAACGCUGGCGGCGUGCUUAACACAUGCAAGUCGAACGGAAAGACCCUGCUUUUGUGGGGUGCUCGAGUGGCGAACGGGUGAGUAACACGUGAGUAACCUGCCCUUGACUUUGGGAUAACUUCAGGAAACUGGGGCUAAUACCGGAUAGGAGCUCCUGCUGCAUGGUGGGGGUUGGAAAGUUUCGGCGGUUGGGGAUGGACUCGCGGCUUAUCAGCUUGUUGGUGGGGUAGUGGCUUACCAAGGCUUUGACGGGUAGCCGGCCUGAGAGGGUGACCGGCCACAUUGGGACUGAGAUACGACACAGACUCCUACGGGAGGCAGCAGUGGGGAAUAUUGCACAAUGGGCGGAAGCCUGAUGCAGCAACGCCGCGUGCGGGAUGACGGCCUUCGGGUUGUAAACCGCUUUCGCCUGUGACGAAGCGUGAGUGACGGUAAUGGGUAAAGAAGCACCGGCUAACUACGUG
rnacentral:rRNA from 1 species